UACGGAGGGUGCAAGCGUUAUCCGGAAUCACUGGGUUUAAAGGGUGCGUAGGCGGCACUAUAAGUCAGAGGUGAAAGGCCACGGCUCAACCGUGGGACUGCCUUUGAUACUGUAGUACUUGAAUCAGGCUGAGGUUAGCGGAAUGAGUCAUGUAGCGGUGAAAUGCAUAGAUAUGACUUAGAACACCAAUUGCGAAGGCAGCUAGCUAGACCUGCAUUGACGCUGAGGCACGAAAGCGUGGGGAGCGAACAGG
rnacentral:rRNA from 1 species